AUUGAACGCUGGCGGCAUGCCUAACACAUGCAAGUCGAACGGCAGCGCGAAUGGGGUAACCCAUUUGGCGGCGAGUGGCGGACGGGUGAGUAAUGCGUGGGGACCUGCCUGACAGUUGGGGAUAACCCGGGGAAACUCGGGCUAAUACCGAAUACAGUUUACGAACGAAAGGAGGGGACCUUCGGGCCUUUCGCUGUCAGAUGGACCCACGUUGGAUUAGCUAGUUGGUGGGGUAAAGGCCUACCAAGGCGACGAUCCAUAGCUGUUCUGAGAGGAAGAUCAGCCACACUGGGACUGAGACACGGCCCAGACUCCUACGGGAGGCAGCAGUGGGGAAUAUUGGACAAUGGGCGCAAGCCUGAUCCAGCAAUACCGCGUGUGUGAAGAAGGCCUCGG
rnacentral:rRNA from 1 species